rnacentral:tRNA from 1 species
GUUUCUGUAGUGUAGUGGUUAUCACGUGAGUCUAACACACUCAAGGUCCCCGGUUCGAGCCCGGGCGGAAACA